GCUGGGCGUGGUGGCGCAUGCCUAUAGUCCCAGCUACCCCGGAGGCUGAGGUGGGAGGAUCGCUUGAGUCUGGGAGGUUGAGGCUGCAGUGAGCCAUGAUCAUGCCACUGCACUCCAGCCUGGGCAACAGAGUGAAACCCUGUCUCAA
rnacentral:SRP_RNA from 2 species